rnacentral:rRNA from 1 species
UACGUAGGCAGCGAGCGUUGUUCGGAUUUACUGGGCGUAAAGGGUGUGUAGGCGGUUCUUUAAGUUUGGCGUGAAAUCUCCCGGCUCAACCGGGAGGGUGCGUCGAAUACUGAGGGACUAGAGUACGGGAGAGGAAAGUGGAAUUCCUGGUGUAGCGGUGAAAUGCGUAGAUAUCAGGAGGAACACCGGUGGUGUAGACGGCUUUCUGGACCGUAACUGACGCUGAGACACGAAAGCGUGGGUAGCAAACAGG